UACGUAGGGGGCGAGCGUUGUCCGGAUUUAUUGGGCGUAAAGCGUGCGUAGGCGGCUGCGCAAGUCGGGUGUGAAACCCCGGGGCUCAACCCCGGAACUGCAUCCGAUACUGCGUGGCUAGAGGUAGGUAGGGGAGAUCGGAAUUCCUGGUGUAGCGGUGAAAUGCGCAGAUAUCAGGAGGAACACCGGUGGCGAAGGCGGGUCUCUGGACAGUUCCUGACACUGAGGCACGAAGGCCAGGGGAGCAAACGGG
rnacentral:rRNA from 1 species